UACGGGGGAUGCAAGCGUUAUCCGGAAUCAUUGGGCGCAAAGCGCCUGUAGGUUGUUUAAUAAGUCUGUUGUUAAAGACUAGGGCUUAACCCUAGGAAAGCAAUGGAAACUACUAGACUAGAGUAUGGCAGGGGUAGAGGGAAUUUCUAGUGUAGCGCUGAAAUGCGUAGAUAUUAGAAAGAACACCGGUGGCGAAAGCGCUCUACUGGACCAUUACUGACACUCAGAGGCGAAAGCUAGGGUAGCAAAAGGGAUUAGAUACCCCUGUAGUCCUAGCCGUAAACGAUGGAUACUAGGUGUCGGGGGAUCGCCCCGGUGUCGUAGCUAACGCGUUAAGUGUUCCGCCUGGGGAGUACGCACGCAAGUGGG
rnacentral:rRNA from 1 species